AUGAACGCUGGCGGCGUGCCUCAUACAUGCAGGUCGAGCGAACGGACGAGAAGCUUGCUUCUCUGAUGUUAGCGGCGGACGGGUGAGUAACACGUGGAUAACCUACCUAUAAGACUGGGAUAACUUCGGGAAACCGGAGCUAAUACCGGAUAAUAUUUUGAACCGCAUGGUUCAAAAGUGAAAGACGGUCUUGCUGUCACUUAUAGAUGGAUCCGCGCUGCAUUAGCUAGUUGGUAAGGUAACGGCUUACCAAGGCAACGAUGCAUAGCCGACCUGAGAGGGUGAUCGGCCACACUGGAACUGAGACACGGUCCAGACUCCUACGGGAGGCAGCAGUAGGGAAUCUUCCGCAAUGGGCGAAAGCCUGACGGAGCAACGCCGCGUGAGUGAUGAAGGUCUUCGGAUCGUAAAACUCUGUUAUUAGGGAAGAACAUAUGUGUAAGUAACUGUGCACAUCUUGACGGUACCUAAUCAGAAAGCCACGGCUAACUACGUG
rnacentral:rRNA from 1 species